GGGGAUAUAACUCAGUUGGCAGAGUGUUUGCCCCAAAUGCACAAGACCCUGGGUUCAAUCCCCAGCACCACCC
rfam:Ictidomys tridecemlineatus contig008736, whole genome shotgun sequence.